rnacentral:rRNA from 1 species
UCGAGAAUCAUUCACAAUGGGGGAAACCCUGAUGGUGCGACGCCGCGUGGGGGAAGAAGGUCUUCGGAUCGUAAACCCCUGUCAUGUGGGAGCAAGCAGCGAUGUAGAUAGUACCACAAGAGGAAGAGACGGCUAACUCUGUGCCAGCAGCCGCGGUAAUACGUAGGUGGCAAGCGUUGUCCGGAAUUAUUGGGCGUAAAGGGAGCGCAGGUGGAUCGUAAAGUCUUGUUUAAAAGAGCGGGGCUCAACCCCGUUAGGGACAAGAAACUUAAGAUCUUGAGUGCAGGAGAGGGAAGCGGAAUUCCUAGUGUAGCGGUGAAAUGCGUAGAUAUUAGGAGGAACACCAGUGGCGAAGGCGGCUUCCUGGACUGUAACUGACACUGAGGCUCGAAAGCUAGGGUAGCGAACG